rnacentral:rRNA from 1 species
UACGUAGGGGGCAAGCGUUGUCCGGAUUUAUUGGGCGUAAAGAGCGUGUAGGCGGCCAGGUAGUCUGCUGUGAAAACUCGAGGCUUAACCUCGAGCUGUCGGCGGAAACCAUCUGGCUAGAGUCCGGAAGAGGAGAAUGGAAUUCCCGGUGUAGCGGUGAAAUGCGCAGAUAUCGGGAAGAACACCCGUGGCGAAGGCGGUUCUCUGGGACGGUACUGACGCUGAGACGCGAAAGCGUGGGGAGCGAACAGG